rnacentral:rRNA from 1 species
CUACGGGAGGCUCCAGUCGAGAAUCUUCCGCAAUGGACGAAAGUCUGACGGAGCGACGCCGCGUGCGGGAUGAAGGCCUUCGGGUUGUAAACCGCUGUCAGUGGGGAGGAAAUGCAUCAGGGUUCUCCCUGGUGUUUGACCGAUCCGCAGAGGAAGCGCAGGCUAAGUUCGUGCCAGGCAGCCGCGGUAACACGAACUGCGCGAACGUUAUUCGGAAUCACUGGGCUUAAAGAGUUCGUAGGCGGCCUUUCAAGUCGGGUGUGAAAUCCCUCGGCUCAACCGAGGAAUUACGCCUGAUACGUUGGGCUUGAGGGGGAUAGGGGUGAGCGGAACUGAUGGUGGAGCGGUGAAAUGCGUUGAUAUCAUCAGGAACACCGGUGGCGAAGGCGGCUCACUGGAUCUCUUCUGACGCUGAGGAACGAAAGCUAGGGGAGCGAACGGGAUUAGAUACCCUUGUAGUC